rnacentral:rRNA from 1 species
GAUGAACGCUGGCGGCGUGCCUAAUACAUGCAAGUCGAGCGAACAGACGAGGAGCUUGCUCCUUUGACGUUAGCGGCGGACGGGUGAGUAACACGUGGGUAACCUACCUAUAAGACUGGGAUAACUUCGGGAAACCGGAGCUAAUACCGGAUAAUAUUUCGAACCGCAUGGUUCGAUAGUGAAAGAUGGCUCUGCUAUCACUUAUAGAUGGACCUGCGCCGUAUUAGCUAGUUGGUAAGGUAACGGCUUACCAAGGCAACGAUACGUAGCCGACCUGAGAGGGUGACGGCAACCAGGGGAGGUGAGCAGGGGCCCAGACCCCGCGGGGGAGCAGCAGAGGGAAAUCUUCGGCAAGGGGGAAGAGCCGGAGGGGGCAGCGCGGGGGGGGAGAGAAGGGUGUUCGGAUCGUAAACCUUUGUUAUAGGGGAAAAACAAACGUGAAAGAACCUGUGCACGUUUGGAGGGUACCUAAUAAAAAAGCCACGGCUAACUACGGG